UACGGGGGGAGCAAGCGUUGUUCGGAUUUACUGGGCGUAAAGGGCGCGUAGGCGGCCACGACAAGUCACUUGUGAAAUCUCCGGGCUUAACUCGGAACGGUCAAGUGAUACUGUCGGGCUAGAGUGCAGAAGGGGCAACUGGAAUUCUCGGUGUAGCGGUGAAAUGCGUAGAUAUCGGGAGGAACACCAGUGGCGAAGGCGACUACCUGGCCUGUUCUUGACGCUGAGGCGCGAAAGCUAGGGGAGCAAACGGG
rnacentral:rRNA from 1 species